rnacentral:lncRNA from 1 species
UUACGAUACAUUUUUUGGCUUCCUCUAGUUUCUUUUUGAGCAAUUAUAUUCAAAACCUCAUCACUAAUUCUCAAGCUCAAGGUACAGUGGAAAAGAAGCCCCAGCCUCUUUUUAUUGUUCAUUGAAGUAGUAGAAGCUACCUUGCUCUGCUAAGGAAGUCCAUAGGUCAUUUCUUUACUAUUUCAUUGGCGCUGUUUGCAGAAAAACACUGAAUAUAAAAGCUAUGUCAAAAAGGCAAACUAAGAGUGAUAUGCCCUUGGUCAAAAAUAAUAUAGAUUCGAAAUCUAUCAGGGGGUCAAGACCUACUUCUGCUACCGCUGCUUCAGUAUGUAACUCAAAGCCAAUUUAGCAUUUUGGAGACUCUGUUGGAAGGCAUGAUGACUCUUUUACAAAAUCAAGCUCAGAUGACAGUCGCCCCAUCCUUUAAUCUACCGGAAGUUCAACCACAAAAUGUGCACGGACAACCUCCAUGAAUGAUACAAAUGGUUGUCCCCCGAUCAUUCAGCCAAUGGUAACAAACAUGGGGGCUCAUGAAGUCAAAGACUUACAGGCUCCACGUCCUAUGAUAGACUUAUAACAUAAAAUGGAGGAAAUGAUGUCCCAAAGAUAGAUAUUAAAGUUCAUGAAAAAUGAUAGGCAAAGGCAAAUGGUCUUGGAAGAAGAUCCCUUCGCACCAGAGAUCAUGGCAGCCUCUCCAUCAAAAGACUUCAAGCAACAAAUGAUAGAGGCAUAUGGUGAGUCAUAGAUCCUCUUGACCACUACUGACUUUUUGUUGAUUUAAUGAGAUUAUAUGUAGCUCCAGACGUAAUGAUGUGUCGAUCUUUUCUACCAACACUAAGAUGAGGG